CCAAACUCUGUUCUAAGUGUUCAUAAAAUAUAUUUAAUUAUGUACUCUGGAAUUUUACUUUCCUGUUCCAAAGUUUUCAGUGUCUUUUAACCAAUUUUCUUCUUUUUAAAGCCGGUGACCUAUUGUCUCUUUCAUUUUUUACAGUUUCUCUGAUCUUAUCAGCAACUCCAUAGGUCUUAGGUUACCCAUAAACAGCUGCGGGGUGUAAUUUGUUCCUGGAAACAUGAACUUAUUUGAAAUAGAUGGGUGUUCUCUUUCUGUCUCCUCAAUCAUCUCAAGUUUCAGUUCUCUUAUGUUGUUUCACCUUUACCACUUUCAAGUCCCUUUUCCAUACUGAAGAGGGAAAGAAUAUACAAUUGAGUCAGCCCUCUUUUUAGCCUAUAGAUUAUUCUUUUCAGUAAAUUGAUGAUUUUGUGUUUAUAAAAGUCUAUGCAGGCUUAUUUCUCUGUGUCCUCUAAUACAGUCUCCACUCUGGUUAAAGCAGUCUUCCCAUCUUUUUCCUCUUGAAGAUGCCAAGUAACUCUAGCCCGCAAUGUUUUUUCUGUAAUACUAUAUAGUUUGCACCACAUAGUGUAACAAUGGAACAGGUAUUAUUGUCCAUUAAAUGUUCUCUAAUUAUUAUUAUUAUUUUUUGGCUUCCGAAGAAUUGUUGGUUUCUUGACCUUUUUUUGUUCACCUGCAAAGUUGGGGUAUACAAUGGAAUACUACUCAGCCAUAAAAUAGAAUAAAAUAAUGCCAUUUGCAGCAACAUGGAUGAACCUGGAGAUCAUCAGACUAAGUGAAGUAGAUUUUGAGGAGUGAUUGGUGACGUUUUUGUGGGGAUAAUAAUGACAACAGUGUUUGCAUACUGUUGUACAUGUGUUUUCUCAUCAGCAGUGUUUUCCACAACAUUUACUGCACACCAUCACGAUGCAUCACACCUGGAAAUUUGAACUGAUAUAAGUAAAAGCUCUUAAUCUCAGACUACUUACAUUGAAUUGAAGGCGAGACAAUCCAUAAGCAAAAUGAUGUGAACAAGAUGGUAGCAUCUGUGUAGUUGAGAAGAAAGUGAGAUCAUUUUGUCUGGGUUGAUGAGGGUUUUAUGCAUUUUGGUCAUGUUAUCUUGAAGCAAGAAUAGAAGUAAAAGCAGACUGAAUGACCGAGAACAUUGCAAAGAUAAGAAACUCAGGAAACAAAUGCCUAGAAUUGUGGUGGAAAUGAUGCGUAUCCUUCUGAAGUUAAAGCAGGUUGAGGCUACCAGUGAAAAGUACAGUUGGAGAAUAGGGGCGAAUGUAUUAUUUCAGCAACACAUUUUUACAAGCAGAUUUAUUUUUUACUUCCAUUCACUUACUUGCCCACGAAUCCUAGGCCAUCAAGAAUGCAGUCUUAUAAAUGUGUUAACUAAAAAUGUCUUGGGUAUUUCAAAACAGAAAAAUAUAUCAGGUACAGUUUUCACCACUUGCCUUCUUCAGUGUUCUGGUGUAGUUACUAGGACAUUCCAUCUCCCUUUGCCUAGACCCUCACUGCCAAUGGAUUCUGCUAAAGCUUUUUGAUUUUCCUAUUUAAUCCGUAUUCGAUAGGAGAAAUAAAACUUGUUUCCUUGAUUUUUUUAUUUGUAGAACUUAGCAGAGUGACUGUUACGGAGAUCUGGUUUAAAUUUAAGAAGUAGAAAAGCGAAGUAAAAUAUAUACACGGUGUAUACUAUACAGGGUAGACAGAAUUUUUAAAAUAGUCUUUUAAUAGUUAAAAUUCCCCUAAAAGUAAAAAA